rnacentral:ncRNA from 1 species
AAAAAGAUUAUGAUUAGAAGAGUAACUGUUGACCUCUAGUAUAGAAAGUUCCCUGUAGCUGGGAAGGGAGCCUAUGUGAGCAGCGAAUCACAUCUAUGAAUCAAAGAGCUGAAAGUUAUUAAUAAUCGAUGAGUAGGCUUGACCGGACAGUUCGUUAUCACUGUUGAAUUUUUCAACUUGAGGUUUGUUUCGUGAGGAACAAAUAAAAUGAGGUGGAACCACGGUAAAACGUCCUCUUA